rnacentral:rRNA from 1 species
AACGAACGCUGGCGGCAGGCUUAACACAUGCAAGUCGAGCGCCCCGCAAGGGGAGCGGCAGACGGGUGAGUAACGCGUGGGAAUCUACCCAUCUCUACGGAAUAACGCAUGGAAACGUGUGCUAAUACCGUAUACGUCCUUCGGGAGAAAGAUUUAUCGGAGAUGGAUGAGCCCGCGUUGGAUUAGCUAGUUGGUGGGGUAAAGGCCUACCAAGGCGACGAUCCAUAGCUGGUCUGAGAGGAUGAUCAGCCACACUGGGACUGAGACACGGCCCAGACUCCUACGGGAGGCUGCAGUGGGGAAUAUUGGACAAUGGGCGCAAGCCUGAUCCAGCCAUGCCGCGUGAGUGAUGAAGGCCCUAGGGUUGUGAAGCUCUUUCACCGGUGAAGAUAAUGACGGUAACCGGAGAAGAAGCCCCGGCUAACUUCGUGCCAGCCGCCGCCGUAAUAC